GACAGAGGGUGCAAACGUUGUUCGGAAUUACUGGGCGUAAAGCGCGUGUAGGCGGCAGGGCAAGUCGGAUGUGAAAGCCCUGGGCUCAACCCAGGAAGUGCACUCGAAACUCCCGAGCUGGAGUCCCGGAGAGGAAGGCGGAAUUCUCGGUGUAGAGGUGAAAUUCGUAGAUAUCGAGAGGAACAUCGGUGGCGAAGGCGGCCUUCUGGACGGUGACUGACGCUGAGACGCGAAAGCGUGGGGAGCAAACAGG
rnacentral:rRNA from 1 species